rnacentral:lncRNA from 1 species
GGGGCUUGCUCUGUCAAGGCGCCACCUUGUGUCUCCUUUGUUCAGCGUGACAUCCUUCAGACGCUCCUACCGAGGUGACAGCCCAACAGAUUCCCAAACGGACAUGAUUGAAAUCCCUUUGCCUCCGUGGCAGGAGCGAACGGAUGAAUCCAUAGAGACCAAAAGAGCCCGCCUGCUCUACGAGAGCAGAAAGAGGGGAAUGCUGGAAAACUGCAUCCUGCUUAGCCUCUUUGCUAAGGAGCAUCUGCACCAGAUGACGGAGAAACAGCUGAAUCUCUACGAUCGCCUGAUCAAUGAACCCAGUAAUGACUGGGAUAUUUAUUACUGGGCUACAGAAGCAAAACCAGCCCCAGAAAUAUUUGAAAACGAAGUCCUGGCCCUGCUGAGAGACUUUGCUAAGAACAAGAACAGAGAGCAGCGCCUGCGGGCCCCGGAUCUCGAAUACCUCUUUGAAAAGCCUCGUUGAGCUGCACCCGGCUGCUGCCUGCCUGGCCUCCGGCCACGGUCGCUCGCUCCUCGCGAUGGAUCCCGGCCUCGCUGUCCAGCUUUUCUCCUUAGACAGACGCUCAGCCCACCCAGACCGCUGGUCCUUCCACCCGGGACGGGCCCUCCUCACUCUGAGGACAUGUAGGUGUCCAGGGUAUCCCAUUUUAAGACCUUUUGGCUCCAUUCUAAGCCUCAGAUGUGGUUGGUCCAUGUUCCCGGUGCUCAGGCCCACUGUUUCUCUGGCUCCCGUCUCCGCGGCAGGCCUCUGCCACAGGAGGCCACGGUAGGGGAGCGACUGGGCCGCUCACUGCUUCAGCCAGAAGUGCGUUCGGUGGAAAGGAGCCACCAGCUGCACCUGCCGUGCUGGUGGAACGCUCCUUGGGUGGCCCAGGGCUUUGUUCCAGUGAAACUCCCCCUUCCAACCCGGUGUGGUGCUUGCUGCCACGGGAAGCUGAUCCAGGCCCCCCUACCCCCACCCCCAGCGGAAUCCUUCAAAGGCCCCGCUCACUGCUUCAGCCAGAACGGAAUCCUUCAAAGGCCCAACAGGCAGAAUGAGGGCGGCCAGGAGGAAUGGCGGGGCCAUGCUGCUUCAGAAGCAACUUCCCCAUCGGGUUUGCUCUAAAAGGUCCCCUUUGUAAACUGAACGAUAAUUGACUAUUAAAGAAGAGU